rnacentral:lncRNA from 1 species
UGACAUCGGAAACGAGUUCCUCACCCCCGAAAACCCCGGAAGCAACCGUCCUCCGUCGGAAAAUCCUCGCCGGCAGCCUUGGGAAGUGUCGCGUGAGCAGCGACUUUCCGGCUCCGAUCCGCCGCCUUCCGGCCACUUUCCGGUCAAAACUCUUGUACUUCCGGACUCCCCGCAACUCGAGCUUCGCAUAGGCGCUUCCGGAUUCGAAUUCCGACACCGGUGUUUUCCGGACGCCCGAAAUAUUUCAAUUUUUAUCUGAGUAUAAUUUUAUUUUAGACUCUGAAAAUUUUGUUAUAAUAUUAGAAGUUAUUGUGGCUAUUAAUUACUUAUGAUGGGUAGUUUAAAAAUAAAUCAAAUUAAAUUGUUUGUGUUGUGGUGUUCUGGCGUCGGGAAAAUAUUAAUGCAGUUCUUGUGGCCCGGCUCCUGUUAUUAAAUUCCAGCAUGUUUGAUAUGUUUUUGGUAGGUCCUGGGCCCGUUUUACGGGGGUAAAUGUCUGUAAAUUAGGGGAGGUUCUGUCGAAUUUCUGGCAAAUCCCUCGAGUCUAAUUGAGUUUUAGACAGACCAUUAUAGAAGUCUAAGUUAGAAAAAUUUAAGGAUGUCGAUUAAUUGAGUGUUUUCCAUGACUAGAUAAUCCAGCCUUCUCACCAGCUCCACCCGAGGCGUAGGAGCGGACUAUGGAACGCGUUAGAUCUGUGAGUUAAAGUCAUUUAAUCAUUGCACUAUUGCUAAGUCUGAUUUUAAUAUGCUAUUUUAGAAUUUGUGCUUAAUAUAAUUAUUAGUAUCGCAAAAUAAAUAAUUUCACUUGACUAUUAAUUAUUGGAAAUAAUAUAAAUAUUAUUAUUAGUAACGUUAUAAUAGUACAUAUACUAUUAUUUUUCGAAACGAAUUGCAUGUUGCCUUACCCUAGAUUUUUAAUCUUUAUUCCGAUAUGUGUUGAAUGAUUUCAUUAGACAAUGAUAUUUAUUAAAUGUGAUGAUUGCGUCUUGAGAAAUGUGGCUUUCGUAGAACAUGCCACCUGGUGGGUUGCAUCAGGACCGCGUGCGCACCGGUAAUGAUCAUGGACAUAAGAUUAUUAUGGAUUUGUUUGCCCUGAUCGAGCAUUUGCUCUCUAGGCUGAGUUCAGUUUAUUGCCGGAGUUAAGGUCCCUGAUCGAGCAACGCUCUCUGGGCGCUGGCUUAUUUGGAAUUCAAGUGUUCAGGCUGGAGGUAAGGACCCUGAUCGAGCUUGCUCUCUGGACGCCAGACCUGUUGGAUUAAGAGAGCCGAAAGGCUACUAGAAUUUGAGGUUUAAGGUUCUACUGAGCCACUCGUCCCGUAAAAGAAACAUAAAUAUAUUUUUUAUUUAUUUAUUUUAUUAUGGUAUGAUGACAUCAUGGUUUCUGUUUAUGUUCAGGAUUUGAUAUAUUGAUUCGAAUAAUGAAUAUUUUCUGUAAAGACUGCAAUAGUCUCUAGAUUAUUUGAUUUUAUCUCACUCCCGAGACUGACAGUCUCAGUUGUAAAUUUUUUUAGAUGGCAAUUAAAGACCUUCACCAUCGCACAUUUGAUAGUCCGACUUUUUCUUCUUCAGACUUUUGUAAUUACCUUGUACUUCUAUACUUGUCAUUAUUUACUCUAGAGUAUCCGCAGUAGGAAAUUUUAAAAUUGAUAUAACUAUUCUGACUCAUGUUGGAAGUAUGAUGAUUUAUUUAUGCAAGACAAUUAUGACUACUUUAUAUUUUGUUAACUGUCUAUCUGGAUUUGCGGGUCGGUAAGGCUUACUACGGGUUUUGGUGGUCUUAAGCCUACCCAUUCCCUAGUGCCGGUCACGGGCCCAUAGAGUAGGUCGUGACAAAGUUCAAAAUAAUAGAAAAAUAGUUAAUAAUAGAAGAAGAGAAAGAAAAGAAGUAAAUAAUUUAAACUUUUAUUGAAGAGAGAAAAUUUUACAAAUAGAGAUAGUAGGGAAGAUAGUUC